rnacentral:tRNA from 1 species
AGUCAGCUAAUAAAGCUAAUGGGUUCAUACCUCAUAAAUGAAAAUAUUUUUUCUCAAGCUG